GACGAACGCUGGCGGCGUGCCUAACACAUGCAAGUCGAACGGAACUGUUUUGAAAGAUUUCUUCGGAAUGAAUUUGAUUUAGUUUAGUGGCGGACGGGUGAGUAACGCGUGAGUAACCUUCCUUCAAGAGGGGAAUAACAUUCUGAAAAGAAUGCUAAUACCGCAUGACAUAUCGGAACCACAUGGUUUUGAUAUCAAAGAUUUUAUCGCUUGAAGAUGGACUCGCGUCCGAUUAGUUAGUUGGUGAGGUAACGGCUCACCAAGACCGCGAUCGGUAGCCGGACUGAGAGGUUGAACGGACACAUUGGGACUGAGACACGGCCCAGACUCCUACGGGAGGCAGCAGUGGGGGAUAUUGAGCAAUGGGGGCAACACUGACGCAGCAACGCCGCGUGAAGGAUGAAGGUUUUCGGAUUGUAAACUUCUUUUAUUAAGGACGAAAAAUGACGGUACUUAAUGAAUAAGCUCCGGCUAACUACGUG
rnacentral:rRNA from 1 species